rnacentral:rRNA from 1 species
UACGUAGGGUCCGAGCGUUGUCCGGAGUUACUGGGCGUAAAGCGCGCGCAGGCGGCGGUGUUGGCCCGGCGUGAAAGCCCCCGGCUCAACCGGGGAGAGUCGUCGGGGACCGCACCGCUUGAGGGCGGUAGGGGCUGGUGGAAUGCCUGGUGUAGUGGUGAAAUGCGUAGAGAUGUGGAGGAACACCAGUGGCGAAGGCGACUCUUUGGUCUGUAACUGACGCUGGGGCGCGAAAGCGUGGAGAGCAAACAGG